rnacentral:rRNA from 1 species
AACUAACGCUGGCGGCGUGCCUAACACAUGCAAGUCGUACGAGAAAGUUGGCUUCGGCCGAUGAGUAAAGUGGCGCACGGGUGAGUAAUGCGUGGAUAAUCUGCCCUUUAGUUGGGAAUAACGUACCGAAAGGUGCGCUAAUACCUGAUAAUACUGCAUAACUACUGUUGUGUAGUCAAAGAAGGCCUCUGUUUACAAGCUUUUGCUGAAGGAUGAGUCCGCGUACCAUUAGCUGGUUGGUGGGGUAAUGGCCUACCAAGGCUACGAUGGUUAGCUGGUCUGAGAGGAUGAUCAGCCACACUGGAACUGAGACACGGUCCAGACUCCUACGGGAGGCAGCAGUGGGGAAUAUUGCACAAUGGGGGAAACCCUGAUGCAGCGACGCCGCGUGAGGAUGACACAUUUCGGUGCGUAAACUCCUUUUAUAUAGGAAGAUAAUGACGGUACUAUAUGAAUAAGCACCGGCUAACUCCGUGCCCAGCAGCCGUAC